rnacentral:rRNA from 1 species
GACGAACGCUGGCGGCGUGCUUAACACAUGCAAGUCGAACGGAAAGGCCCUGCUUUUGUGGGGUGCUCGAGUGGCGAACGGGUGAGUAACACGUGAGUAACCUGCCCUUGACUUUGGGGUAACUUCAGGAAACUGGGGCUAAUACCGGAUAGGAGCUCCUGCUGCAUGGGGAGGGUUGGAAAGGUUCGGCGGUUGGGGAUGGACUCGCGGCUUAUCAGCUUGGUGGUGGGGUAGGGGCUUACCAAGGCUUUGACGGGUAGCCGGCCUGAGAGGGCGACCGGCCACCUUGGGACUGAGAUACGGCCCAGACUCCUACGGGAGGCAGCAGUGGAGAAUAGUGCACGAUGGGCGGGAGCCUGAUGCAGGAACGGCGCGUGCGGGAUGACGGCCUUCGGGGUGGAAACCGCUUUCGCCUGUGACGAAGCGUGAGUGGCGGUAAUGGGUAAAGAAGCACCGGCUAACUACGUG